UCCGUAGGCGGUCUGAUAAGUCAGAGGUGAAUCCUGCAGCUCAACUGUAGCAUUGCCUUUGAUACUGUUAGACUUGAGUUAUUGUGAAGUAGUUAGAAUGUGUAGUGUAGCGGUGAUAUGCAUAGAUAUUACACAGAAUACCGAUUGCGAAAGCAGAUUACUAACAAUAUACUGACGCUCAUGGACGAUAGCGUGUGUAGCGAACAGGAUUAGAUACCCUGGUAGUCCACGCCGUAACGAUGGAUACUAGCUGUUCGAUCAACAUUGGUUGAUUGAGUGUUAGCGAAGUGAUAGUAUCCACUGUGAGUACGCUCGCAGAGUGAACUCAAGAUGACGGGCCGCACAGCGUGAGCAUGUGGUGAUCGAUGA
rnacentral:rRNA from 1 species